UCCAUCCGAUGAACAGCAGCGACUGAAGCCCCAUGACGAGGGAAAAAACCCUUCGAGGGUCUUCUCGCACAGAAAUGACAGAACUGAAGCCACGCCGCAGGAGCUUUCCGGCCGCCGCCGCCGCCGGAGAGGAAGGGAGCAAACUCCGCCGUCCCCCGUUCGAUCCUCCUCCCCCGUUCCUACUGCUUCCUCCGCUGCGUACCGCUCCGCCUUCCUCCUCCUCCGCGCACAGCUCCGACGGCCUCCCCCAUGCGACCUCGCCUCGUCGGAUCCAUCCACUUCCCUGCGACCACUCCACCCACUGUCUGGUAGCCGCCGCCAGCCUUACCCCUCCUCCUAUAGCAGUGGCAUCGAGCUCCAGGCGUCGGAAGACUCCAGCAGCAGUAGGAUUUGAUUGCAAUUGCAGGAGAGGGACGGGAGCAAGUGUUCAGCUACUGCUUGUGUAAUCUGUUUCUAGAUUGUUCAGAUUUUGCUUGUGUAACAGAUUUCAGUGCUUCAGAAAUGAAACCUGCGACUAAUUUGUUUGUGAAACUGUUCUCCUCAGUUUUACUGGCAACUCUGAACUGAAACUCCAUGUAGAAUCUCAGUUUUCUCUAGUACAUGGUCAGAAUUUCAAUUA